rnacentral:rRNA from 1 species
GCAGAACGCGAAGAACCUUACCAAGGUUUGACAUCACCCGGACCGGUCUAGAGAUAGAUCUUCCCUUUUGGGCUGGGUGACAGGUGGUGCAUGGCUGUCGUCAGCUCGUGUCGUGAGAUGUUGGGUUAAGUCCCGCAACGAGCGCAACCCUUGCUCCAUGUUGCCAGCAACGCCUUCGGGUGGUUGGGGACUCAUGGGGGACUGCCGGGGUCAACUCGGAGGAAGGUGGGGAUGACGUCAAGUCAUCAUGCCCCUUAUGCCUUGGGCUGCAAACAUGCUACAAUGGCCGGUACAGAGGGCUGCGAUACCGUGAGGUGGAGCGAAUCCCUAAAAGCCGGUCUCAGUUCGGAUUGGGGUCUGCAACUCGACCCCAUGAAGUCGGAGUCGCUAGUAAUCGCAGAUCAGCAAUGCUGCGGUGAAUACGUUCCCGGGUCUUGUACACACCG